rnacentral:rRNA from 1 species
CCAAAAGAUCGAAUGGGGAGAUUCAUCGCAAGCGUGGCUGGCUUCCGUGCGGCUCGCGAUGGCCGGGACCUCGGUCUCGCGUCACGCGUCCGCUGCGGUAUGUCCGGCUACGUCGGCGUGCACUUCUCCCCUAGUAGGACGUCGCGACCCGUUGGGUGUCGGACCGAUGGCCGUUUGGUCGCCUGUCUCGUCGCGUUUACGCGUGCACGGGGCAGACCGAAAUGGUCGAGCGUCCGGCUGCCCGGCGGUAUAGAACGCUAUUGAACGGUAAUGAGCCGCAUUAAGUGCGUUCAGGCUCGUCGGCAGGCUCGUCUCGCCCGGAUUUACGGACCUAGCGCCGUUGCCGGGUGCUUGGCGUGGCCGUUAGUCGACGAUGUCCUCGGACUGGCUCUAAAAUUCGAAAGGAUUACCGGUCGGCGACGCUACUGCUUUGGGUACUUUCAGGACCC